GGGGCUGUGGCUCAAUGGCAGGGCAUCUGCCUUGUAUGCAGAAGGUCUCCGGUUUAAUAUCCAACAUCUCUA
rnacentral:tRNA from 1 species